rnacentral:lncRNA from 1 species
UAAAAAAGCAAAAACUGAAAAUUUUUCAUCACAUUUGUACUAAACUAUUGAUACCAGAUUGAUUCCUAAUGAAACCAAGAUCAUCAGCUAUGCCUUUGUAUCUUCAGAGACAGUGCUUUGAAUAUACUCAUAUAAGAAUAGUAUGAUGGCUAUAACAAUAUUUUGAUGAAUUUUACACUAGAAAUCUCUCCCUACAGCUAGAAUUUGAAAAUCCAGCCAACCAAACCAAACCAAGCAAAAACUAAUAAAAGCAGUUGCUGUUGUCCGUAUAUCAAGACGAAUGCGGUUGGUUGCUUUUGCUGUCUGCUGCAUGCCACUCUGCCUUAGAACCAGCCAACUAUGGACUGAAACCUCUACAAACUGUGGAACUAUGGUCCAGAAAAGAACUCUGGAGUACACAGAUUGUACAGCCCCAAGAACAUGAAGAAAGGAGAAAGCCUAAUUUGUCAAGUGGGUGCAUUGGACAAGGGUAUGAAUAAUUCCCAGGUGGCAGGGCACAGGUUCACAUAGUAUCUACCAUCUGGAAUGAUGCCAGGCUCCUAAGAAGGCCUGAGAACAUGGUGUAUUGCAU